AUACGGGCCCUGUGCGGCGGGGCGCUGUGAAUCAUGUCAGGCGGGGAACCGAGCAGCAUUAAGCAGUCUGUUCCGUGCGCCGCAGGCAAACCUGUAUCUC
rnacentral:SRP_RNA from 2 species